GUCUGCUUCAUUUCGAAUGUCUCUGGCCAAAUGUGAAUAGAAAACAGCUUUUUGUUCCACAGACUUUUGGACUUUAACCUUAACUACUUACCAGGAUAUAAUCAUCCACACAUUCCCGAUUGCCAGUACAUAAACUAUUAGGCUGCCCAGCGCUACAGCUGGAAGGGAAGAGCUUCUCUCUAGUGGCUAAUUUAAUCGACAACAUCAGAGCAAGAAGAAGUAAAACAAGUUUUCCUGUUCAAAAACCCUCCUGUGUUGUUGCUGCAGAAAAUACUGUUCCCUGCACAAGGAUUUCUUCCCUUUCUGUGAAGGAAAAAGGAUUUUUGCACAUGUAUUUUCUAUCCAGGAUACUUCUUGAUGUUCAAAUCUGGGAAUAUACUGCAGAUAAAUAUUUGUUUUCUUCCAUAGCAGGGUGAAAACUACUCCAUCAUUGCAGGUGAAACUGGUUAGAAUUAUAACAGGAUGUCUACAUCCAACACCACUGGAGAAAUUAUACUGUUUAGUCGGUAUUGCACCACCUGACAUCCGUUGGGAAGCAGCAGCCUGUAAUAAAAGGAUCAAGGCACUGACCUCUCCGGCCCACCCUCUGUUCGGAUAUAAGCCAUCAAGCCAAUGCAUUAAGUGAAGAAAUAGCUGCAGAGAUCUGCAGAGAUACUCACAGGAAUACCUAAGCAAGCAAGAGUCCAAAAGCGGCAGGCAAAAAACCCAGAACCUCAAUCAGUGGCUGAUACCAGAUGAGAAACUCCCUCCUGGGCACAUAGAAGUUUGGGCGACUUGGAAGGCGCUGAACAGCUUGCGCUCUGGCACCACGAGUGCAAUCUUCAGAAAUGGGGCUACAAAGUGGAGUCCACGACAUGCGAAUGUGGAGAAGAACAAACCACAGACCACUUACUACAAUGCAGUCUGAGCCUUCUCGCAUGCACAGUGGAGGACCUUCUUACAACGACACCAGAGGCACGCCAAGUGGCCAGCUUCUUGUCAAAGGAAAUUUAGUAUAAUGCCAAAUUUUUAACUUUGUUUGUGUUUUUCUAUACAUUACUGUAUAUCUGUAUUCUCAAUUCACUUCUGACAUGAUAAAUAAAUAAAUACUCCUCAA